rnacentral:rRNA from 1 species
AGUGAACGCUGGCGGUAGGCCUAACACAUGCAAGUCGAACGGCAGCACAGUAAGAGCUUGCUCUUACGGGUGGCGAGUGGCGGAAGGGUGAGGAAUACAUCGGAAUCUACUUUUUCGUGGGGGAUAACGUAGGGAAACUUACGCUAAUACCGCAUACGACCUACGGGUGAAAGCAGGGGAUCUUCGGACCUUGCGCGAUUGAAUGAGCCGAUGUCGGAUUAGCUAGUUGGCGGGGUAAAGGCCCACCAAGGCGACGAUCCGUAGCUGGUCUGAGAGGAUGAUCAGCCACACUGGAACUGAGACACGGUCCAGACUCCUACGGGAGGCAGCAGUGGGGAAUAUUGGACAAUGGGCGCAAGCCUGAUCCAGCCAUACCGCGUGGGUGAAGAAGGCCUUCGGGUUGUAAAGCCCUUUUGUUGGGAGAGAAAAGCAGCAGGUUAAUACCCCGCUGUUCUGACGGUACCCAAAGAAUAAGCACCGGCUAACUUCGUG